rnacentral:rRNA from 1 species
UACGGGGGGGGCAAGCGUUGUUCGGAAUUACUGGGCGUAAAGGGCUCGUAGGCGGCCAACUAAGUCAGACGUGAAAUCCCCAGGCUUAACCUGGGAACUGCGUCUGAUACUGGAUGGCUUGAAUUCGGGAGAGGGAUGCAGAAUUCCAGGUGUAGCGGUGAAAUGCGUAGAUAUCUGGAGGAAUACCGGUGGCGAAGGCGGCAUCCUGGACCGACAUUGACGCUGAGGAGCGAAAGCUAGGGGAGCAAAUGGG